GAUGAACGCUGGCGGCGUGCCUAAUACAUGCAAGUCGAGCGAACAGACGAGGAGCUUGCUCCUCUGACGUUAGCGGCGGACGGGUGAGUAACACGUGGAUAACCUACCUAUAAGACUGGGAUAACUUCGGGAAACCGGAGCUAAUACCGGAUAAUAUAUUGAACCGCAUGGUUCAAUAGUGAAAGACGGUUUUGCUGUCACUUAUAGAUGGAUCCGCGCCGCAUUAGCCAGUUGGUAAGGUAACGGCUUACCAAGGCGACGAUGCGUAGCCGACCUGAGAGGGUGAUCGGCCACACUGGAACUGAGACACGGUCCAGACUCCUACGGGAGGCAGCAGUAGGGAAUCUUCCGCAGUGGGCGAAAGCCUGACGGAGCAACGCCGCGUGAGUGAUGAAGGUCUUCGGAUCGUAAAACUCUGUUAUUAGGGAAGAACAAAUGUGUAAGUAACUAUGCACGUCUUGACGGUACCUAAUCAGAAAGCCACGGCUAACUACGU
rnacentral:rRNA from 1 species